GACGAACGCUGGCGGCGUGCUUAACACAUGCAAGUCGAACGGAAAGGCCCUGCUUGCAGGGUGCUCGAGUGGCGAACGGGUGAGUAACACGUGGGUGAUCUGCCCCUUACUUUGGGAUAAGCCUGGGAAACUGGGUCUAAUACUGGAUAGGACCAUGCUGUAGGUGGUGUGGUGGAAAGAUUAGUUUCGGUAAGGGAUGAGCUCGCGGCCUAUCAGCUUGUUGGUGGGGUAAUGGCCUACCAAGGCGUCGACGGGUAGCCGGCCUGAGAGGGUGGACGGCUACAUUGGGACUGAGAUACGGCCCAGACUCCUACGGGAGGCAGCAGUGGGGAAUAUUGCACAAUGGGCGCAAGCCUGAUGCAGCGACGCCGCGUGGGGGAUGACGGCCUUCGGGUUGUAAACUCCUUUCAGCCAUGACGAAGCCCUUGUGGUGACGGUAGUGGUAGAAGAAGCACCGGCUAACUACGUG
rnacentral:rRNA from 1 species